CUACGGGACGCUCCAGUGGGGAAUAUUGCGCAAUGGGCGAAAGCCUGACGCAGCUACGCCGUGUGAGGGAUGAAGGCUUUCGGGUCGUAAACCUCUGUCGGAAGGGAAGAACGGGCAUUGGUCUAAUAGGCCUUUGUUUUGACGGUACCUUUAGAGGAAGCACCGGCUAACUCCGUGCCAGCAGCCGCGGUAAUACGGAGGGUGCAAGCGGUAUUCGGAAUUACUGGGCGUAAAGCGCACGUAGGCCGUUUUGUAAGUCAGGGGUGAAAUCCCACGGCUCAACCGUGGAACUGCCUUUGAAACUGCAGGACUUGAAUCCUGGAGAGGGUGGCGGAAUUCCUGGUGUAGGAGUGAAAUCCGUAGAUAUCAGGAGGAACACCGGUGGCGAAGGCGGCCACCUGGACAGGUAUUGACGCUGAGGUGCGAAAGUGUGGGGAGCAAACAGGAUUAGAUACCCCCGUAGUC
rnacentral:rRNA from 1 species